rnacentral:rRNA from 1 species
AAAUUACCCACUCCCGGCACGGGGAGGUAGUGACAAAAAAUAACGAUACGGGACUCUAUUGAGGCCCCGUAAUCGGAAUGAGUACACUUUAAAUCCUUUAACAAGGAUCCAUUGGAGGGCAAGUCUGGUGCCAGCAGCCGCGGUAAUUCCAGCUCCAAUAGCGUAUAUUAAAGUUGUUGCGGUUAAAAAGCUCGUAGUUGGUUCUGCGUGCCACGCUGUCGGUUCGCCGCCUGUCGGUGUAACUGGCAUGUCGUGGCAUGUCCUGUCGGUGGUGAACGGGUUCCCUGGUACGAUGUAGGCUUUUAUUAGCUGAAAUCUGUGCCGUGUGUGUUCCCGUUUGCCGAUCUCUCCUACUCCGGUGCUCUUAAACGAGUGUCGAGGUAGGCCGACACGUUCACUUUGAACAAAUUAGAGUGCUUAAAGCAGGCUAAAAUAUCUGCCUGAAUAGUGGUGCAUGGAAUGAUAAAACAGGACCUCAGUUCUAUUUUGUUGGUUUUAGGAAUAUGAGGUAAUGAUCAAUGUGGACUGGCGGGGGCAUUCGUAUUGCGACGUUAGAGGUGAAAUUCUUGGAUCGUCGCAAGACGCACUAGAGCGAAAGCAUUUGCCAAGUAUGUCUUAAUUGAUCAAGAACGAAAGUUAGAGGUUCGAAGGCGAUCAGAUACCGCCCUAGUUCUAACCAUAAACGAUGCCAGCCAGCGAUCCGCCAAUGUUCCUUUAAUGACUCGGCGGGGAGCUUCUACUCGGGAAACCAAAGCUUUUGGGUUCCGGGGGAAGUAUGGUUGCAAAGCUGAAACUUAAAGGAAUUGACGGAAGGGCACCACCAGGAGUGGAGCCUGCGGCUUAAUUUGACUCAACACGGGAAACCUCA